CGUGAGGAACCUGCCUCAAAGAGGGGGGACAACAGUGGGAAACGACUGCUAAUACCGCAUAAGCCCACGACCCGGCAUCGGGUAGAGGGAAAAGGAGCAAUCCGCUUUGAGAUGAGCUCGCGUCUGAUUAGCUAGUUGGUAAGGUAACGGCUUACCAAGGCGACGAUCAGUAGCCGGACUGAGAGGUUGAUCGGCCACAUUGGGACUGAGACACGGCCCAGACUCCUACGGGAGGCAGCAGUGGGGAAUAUUGCACAAUGGAGGAAACUCUGAUGCAGCGAUGCCGCGUGAGGGAAGAAGGUUUUAGGAUUGUAAACCUCUGUCUUCAGGGACGAAAAAAGACGGUACCUGAGGAGGAAGCUCCGGCUAACUACGUGCCAGCAGCCGCGGUAAUACGUAGGGAGCGAGCGUUGUCCGGAAUUACUGGGUGUAAAGGGAGCGUAGGCGGGAUCGCAAGUCAGAUGUGAAAACUAUGGGCUUAACCCAUAAACUGCAUUUGAAACUGUGGUUCUUGAGUGAAGUAGAGGUAAGCGGAAUUCCUAGUGUAGUGGUGAAAUGCGUAGAUAUUAGGAGGAACAUCAGUGGCGAAGGCGGCUUACUGGGCUUUAACUGACGCUGAGGCUCGAAAGCGUGGGGAGCAAACAGGAUUAGAUACCCUGGUAGUCCACGCCGUAAACGAUGAUUACUAGGUAUGGGGGGGACUGACCCCUUCCGUGCCGAAGCAAAACGCAAGAAGUAAUCCAACUAUGGGGGAGUGCGACCAGCAAGGUUGAAAAUCAAAAGGAAUUGACGGAGGCCCACACAAGCGGUGGAGUAAGUGGAUUAAUUGGAAGCAACGAGAAGAACCUUACCAGGUCUUGACGUGGUAAGCAUAGGUCAGAGAUGAGAGAAAUCUCUUUGAAGAACAUAUAGACAGGAGGUGCAUGGUUGUCGUCAGCUAGUGUAGUGAGAUGUUGGGUUAAGUCCAGCAACGAGAGCAACCCUUAGUGUUAGUUGGUACGCAAGAGCACUAAAGCAGGACUGCCGUUGACAAAACGGAGGAAGGUGGGGAUGACGUCAAAUAAUCAUGCCCCUUAUGACCUGGGCCUCACACGUACUACAAUGGCUGUUAACAGAGGGAUGCAAAGCCGCGAGGUGGAGCGAACCCCUAAAAGCAGUCUUAGUUCGGAUUGUAGGCUGCAACCCGCCUACAUGAAGUCGGAAUUGCUAGUAAUCGCAGAUCAGCAUGAUGCGGUGAAUACGUUCCCGGGCCUUGUACACACCGCCCGUCA
rnacentral:rRNA from 1 species